rnacentral:rRNA from 1 species
CAGCCGCCGCGGUAAUACGGAGGGCGCGAGCGUUGUCCGGAUUCACUGGGCGUAAAGCGGGUGUAGGCGGUCGGGUAAGUCGGACGUGAAAGCCCGGGGCUCAACCCCGGAAGGGCGUCCGAAACUGCUCGACUUGAGGGCGGGAGAGGGAGGUGGAAUUCCCGGUGUAGCGGUGAAAUGCGUAGAUAUCGGCAGGAACGCCGGUGGGGAAGCCGGUCUCCUGGGCCGCGCCCGACGCUGAGGCCCGAAAGCUAGGGGAGCAAACCGGAUUAGAUACCCGGGUAGUCCUAGCCGUAAACGAUGCCCACUAGGUGUGGGGGAGUAUUUCCUCCGUGCUGUAGCUAACGCGUUAAGUGGGCCGCCUGGGGAGUACGCCCGCAAGGGUGAAACUUAAAGGAAUUGGCGGG